rnacentral:rRNA from 1 species
GACGAACGCUGGCGGCGUGCUUAACACAUGCAAGUCGAACGGAAAGGCCCUGCUUUUGUGGGGUGCUUGAGUGGCGAUCGGGUGAGUAACACGUGAGUAACCUUCCCUUGACUUUUGGAUAACUUCAGGAAACUGGGGCUAAUACCGGAUAGGAGCUCCUGCUGCAUGGUGGGGGUUGGAAAGUUUCGGCGGUUGGGGAUGGACUCGCGGCUUAUCAGCUUGUUGGUGGGGUAGUGACUUACGAAGGCUUUGACGGGUAGCCGGCCUGAGAGGGUGACCGGCGACAUAGGGACUGAGAUACGGCGCAGACGCCUACGGGAGGCAGCAGUGGGGAAUAUUGCACAGUGGGCGGAAGCGUGAUGCAGCAACGCCGCGUGCGGGAUGACGGACUUCGGGUUGUAAACCGCUUACACCUGUGACGAAGCGUGAGUGACGGUAAUGGGUAAAGAAGCACCGGCUAACUACGUG